rnacentral:rRNA from 1 species
AUUGAACGUUGGCGGCGUGGAUUAGGCAUGCAAGUCGUACGGGUCGGUGUAGAAAUACAACGGCAAGUGGCGAAAGGGAGAGUAACACGUAGAUACCUACCCUCUGGUCGGGGAUACCGCGGCAUAACCGCAAGUAAUACCCGAUAAAAUCUCCGGAUCAAAGGUGUGAUUCCGCCGGAGGAGGGGUCUGCGUUCUAUCAGCUUGUUGGUGAGGUAAUGGCUCACCAAGGCUAAGACGGAUACGGGGUGUGGGAGCAUGCCCCCGCUCACUGGGACUGAGACACUGCCCAGACACCUACGGGUGGCUGCAGUCGAGAAUCUUCGGCAAUGGGCGCAAGCCUGACCGAGCGACGCCGCGUGCGGGAUGAAGGCCUUCGGGUUGUAAACCGCUGUCGAGGGGAAUGAAGUGUAGGUGGGUACUCCCAUCUAUUUGACAGAUCCCUGGAGGAAGCAUGGGCUAAGUUCGUGCCAGCCGCCGCAGUAACAC